AUAUCUUCAUGCAGCCUUAUUACCUGACAUUUCAAAACAAGAAAAACAAAACCCUUCGCUUUCCACCACCAAUCCUCCUCUCUCCUCCUCACUCGUCACCACCGACCUUCCUCUCUUUCUCAAGGCGGCAAUUUCUGAAAAUGUCGACGACGACACCACUUUACGGGUUGCAGCUGUUACUGCUUGACACUUUGUUGCUGCUGCUGGGCCACCUCGCUACUGCUACCGCCUACCCAACGUUUCUGCUUCACGGUUACAGUUCCAAUAACUCAAAUCCUUCCUUAAUUCGCAUCUCAUCAGGGAAUUUUCAGAGGUUGCCAUUAUCAAAAAUCGAAACCAAUUUUGGGGUUUUUUCGUUUUUGAGGUUUAAGGGCAUGAAUUAGAACAAAAUUAGGUACAAGUUAGGAAUGCAAAUGAAGUAAACAAGCUGUUCGCGAGUGUAUCGGCUCAUUGACGCUCCUAGUUUCAUCCUUAGAGAACAAGAGCCUAACGGGUACAACACCUUAUGCAAGUGUUAAUACUCAUCUUGGAAUUGAUGCCUAGGAAUCUAACUAUUUGCAAACAAUUGAAGAAUAAUAUGAGGAAGAAAAAUGGAUGACACUAACAGAGACUGAGGCUUUCAUUAAAUAUCAUUUUUUCUUUCUCUUCUAGUUUCCAAUUCCUGUUUAGUGUAACACUUGUGAACAACCAAAGAGAAAUGUUAGUUUAUUAAGGUGUUUUUGUAAAUGACAAUUAUAUUUAUCUAUAUAGUAACUUUUUAUUGAUU